ensembl:snRNA U5 U5 spliceosomal RNA
UUGCAUGUGGUUCUCUGCAAAGCGUACAAGUCUUUCGCCUUUUACUAAAGACUUCCGUGCAGAGGAGCAGCGCUUUGUCAGUUGCAUUUUUUGGCAGGCUCUGCCACUGGUAAAGCCU